AAUGCUCUACAGGACAGGUAAGAUCACCCCAACCCACACCCACCACGGUCCACAGCAAACAGACAGGUGAGACGCUCGGGCCAGGACGGCAGUGACCGCUCCAUCAGGACGACGGGACAAGGACAGCCUCGCCAGAAACACACAAUAAUGGGACCAGACUACGGCACAAUCCUGGCCUCGCUGCUCUUGACCACUCAGCUGGAAGGAAGAGCUGCCAACGCUCUACAGGACAGCCAGACUCAGACAGCGAUGGGACCAGACCACGGAUCACUCCUGGCCUCUCUCCCCUUGAGAACUCAGCUGGCAGGAAGAACUGCCAACGCUCUACAGGACAGAUAAGACAGCCCCAACCCAUUCCCCGCCAUCGUCUCACACCAUACCAGAAGACGACACGGUUGGGUUAUGAUGGGCAUCUCCUGGCCGCCAGGGAGACCCCAGAGCAGAGCAAGCCACUGAAGGAGAAGAAAGCACACAAGGACCCCGUCUCUACCCUGCCAUGGGAUUGUGAAGAGAUCUUGGACUGCAUUUGCAGUAGUCUGAAUCUGGUUUGA
rnacentral:lncRNA from 1 species